rnacentral:rRNA from 1 species
GACGAACGCUGGCGGCGUGCUUAACACAUGCAAGUCGAACGGAAAGGCCCUGCUUUUGUGGGGUGCUCGAGUGGCGAACGGGUGAGUAACACGUGAGUAACCUGCCCUUGACUUUGGGAUAACUUCAGGAAACUGGGGCUAAUACCGGAUAGGAGCUCCUGCUGCAUGGUGGGGGUUGGAAAGUUUCGGCGGUUGGGGAUGGACUCGCGGCUUAUCAGCUUGUUGGUGGGGUAGUGGCUUACCAAGGCUUUGACGGGUAGCCGGCCUGAGAGGGUGACCGGCGACAUUGGGCAUGGGAUACGGACCAGACUGCUACGGGAGGCAGCGGCGGGGAAUAUUGCACAAUGGGCGGAAGCCUGAUGCAGCAACGCCGCGUGCGGGAUGACGGCCUUCGGGUUGUAAACCGCUUUCGCCUGUGACGAAGCGUGAGUGACGGUAAUGGGUAAAGAAGCACCGGCUAGGUACGUG